rnacentral:rRNA from 1 species
UACGGGGGGGGUAAGCGUUGUUCGGAAUUACUGGGCGUAAAGGGCUCGUAGGCGGCCAACUAAGUCAGACGUGAAAUCCCUCGGCUCAACCGGGGAACUGCGUCUGAGACUGGAAGGCUUGAAUCCGGGAGAGGGAUGUGGAAUUCCAGGUGUAGCGGUGAAAUGCGUAGAUAUCUGGAGGAACACCGGUGGCGAAGGCGGCAUCCUGGACCGGUAUUGACGCUGAUGCGCGAAAGCCAGGGGAGCAAACGGG